rnacentral:rRNA from 1 species
GAUGAACGCUGGCGGCGUGCCUAAUACAUGCAAGUCGAGCGAAUGGAUUAAGAGCUUGCUCUUAUGAAGUUAGCGGCGGACGGGUGAGUAACACGUGGGUAACCUGCCCAUAAGACUGGGAUAACUCCGGGAAACCGGGGCUAAUACCGGAUAACAUUUUGAACCGCAUGGUUCGAAAUUGAAAGGCGGCUUCGGCUGUCACUUAUGGAUGGACCCGCGUCGCAUUAGCUAGUUGGGGAGGUAACGGCUCACCAAGGCAACGAUGCGUAGCCGACCUGAGAGGGUGAUCGGGCACACUGGGACUGGGACACGGCCCAGACUCCUACGGGAGGCAGCAGUAGGGAAUCUUCCGCAAUGGACGAAAGUCUGACGGAGCAACGCCGCGUGAGUGAUGAAGGAUUUCGGGUCGUAAAACUCUGUUGUUAGGGAAGAACAAGUGCUAGUUGAAUAAGCUGGCACCUUGACGGUACCUAACCAGAAAGCCACGGCUAACUACGUGCCAGCCGCCGCAGUAA